rnacentral:rRNA from 1 species
GAUUAAAUUUUAUUUAUUAAUUUUAUUUUUUAUAUUUUAAUUUAUUAAAAAUAAUUAUUUAUAGAUUUGUUUUAGUAAUUUAUAUUGAAAAAAUAAUAUUAAUAAUAGUUUAAUAGUAUUGUAAAAGAAAAUUGAAAUAUAUUGAAAAAUUAUUAUUUUAAAAGAAAAUUUAAUUUAUUGUAUCUUGUGUAUCAGAGUUUAUUAAUUAAAAAUUAAAUAUAUAAUUUUCUCGAUUUUAAAAGAGUUAAUAUAUUAUGAAAGUUAAUGUGAUAAAAUUAUUUUUAAUAAUAUAUUAGAAAUGAAAUGUUAUUCGUUUUUAAAGAUAUCUAGUUAUUUAAGAAAUAAAUUUAAUUUAUAAAUUUUAUAUUAUUUAAUUAAAUAUAUAAGUUAAAUAAAUAUAUAAUUUAAAUAUUUUAUGGGAUAAGCUAUAAAAUAAAAUUUUAAAAAUUAAUAUAAUAAUUAAAAAAUAUAAACUUAGAAAUAGUUAUUAUUAAUAAAAGUGUUAUAAUUUAUUUUAUUAUUUUUAUUAUUUAUUUAAUUUUAAAUUUUUAUUAAAUUAUUAAUUAAAAUCAUUAAAAUUAAAAAGUAAUGAUAAAAUUAGUAUAUUUAAUAAUGUUUAAAUAAAUUAAUAUGGUAAGUUUUUUUAAGGAAUUCGGCAAAAUAAUAUUCGCCUGUUUAACAAAAACAUGUCUUUAUGAAUUUUUUUAAAGUUUAACCUGCCCACUGAUUUUUUAAAUGGCCGCAGUAUUUUAACUGUGCAAAGGUAGCAUAAUCAUUAGUCUUUUAAUUGAAGGCUGGUAUGAAUGGUUGGACGAAAUAUUAACUGUUUCAUAUAUAUUUAAGAUAGAAUUUUAUUUUUUAGUUAAAAAGCUAAAAUUUAUUUAAAAGACGAGAAGACCCUAUAAAUCUUUAUAUUAUUAUUUAUUUUAUUUUCAUAGAUUUUUUUUAUAUAAUAAAUAUUAAUAUUUUUUUGGGGUGAAAUUAAAAUUUAAAAAACUUUUAAUUUUUUUUAUCAUUAAUUUAUGAUUAUUUGAUCCGUUAUUAACGAUUAAAAUUUUAAGUUACUUUAGGGAUAACAGCGUAAUUUUUUUGGAGAGUUCAUAUCAAUAGAAAAGAUUGCGACCUCGAUGUUGGAUUAAGAUAUAAUUUUAGGUGUAGUUGCUUAAAUUUUAAGUCUGUUCGACUUUUAAAUUCUUACAUGAUCUGAGUUCAAACCGGUGUAAGCCAGGUUGGUUUCUAUCUUUAUAUAAUAAAAAUAUUUUAGUACGAAAGGACCAAAUAUUUAAUAAAUUAUUAUUUUUAAAAUUGAAUAUAAAUAAUAUGACUAUUUUGGCAGAUUAGUGCAA